UGUCGCUCCCCUCCCGGGGCGUUUCCUCCCUAGACUUGGACCGCCGGCGAAAGCCGCGCGGUCCUUUCUUUUGCAGAC
rnacentral:sRNA from 2 species